UCCGGGAAACCGGGGCUAAUACCGGAUACGAGACGCGGCCGCAUGGUCGGCGUCUGGAAAGUUUUUCGGUCAAGGAUGGACUCGCGGCCUAUCAGCUUGUUGGUGAGGUAAUGGCUCACCAAGGCGUCGACGGGUAGCCGGCCUGAGAGGGCGACCGGCCACACUGGGACUGAGACACGGCCCAGACUCCUACGGGAGGCAGCAGUGGGGAAUAUUGCACAAUGGGCGAAAGCCUGAUGCAGCGACGCCGCGUGAGGGAUGAAGGCCUUCGGGUUGUAAACCUCUUUCAGUAGGGAAGAAGCGAAAGUGACGGUACCUGCAGAAGAAGCGCCGGCUAACUACGUGCCAGCAGCCGCGGUAAUACGUAGGGCGCAAGCGUUGUCCGGAAUUAUUGGGCGUAAAGAGCUCGUAGGCGGUUUGUCGCGUCUGGUGUGAAAACUCAAGGCUCAACCUUGAGCUUGCAUCGGGUACGGGCAGACUAGAGUGUGGUAGGGGUGACUGGAAUUCCUGGUGUAGCGGUGGAAUGCGCAGAUAUCAGGAGGAACACCGAUGGCGAAGGCAGGUCACUGGGCCACUACUGACGCUGAGGAGCGAAAGCAUGGGGAGCGAACAGGAUUAGAUACCCUGGUAGUCCAUGCCGUAAACGUUGGGCACUAGGUGUGGGGCUCAUUCCACGA
rnacentral:rRNA from 1 species